rnacentral:rRNA from 1 species
UGGGGAAUAUUGGGCAAUGGGCGCAAGCCUGACCCAGCAACGCCGCGUGAAGGAAGAAGGUCUUCGGAUUGUAAACUUCUGUCAUUGGGGACGAAGAAAGUGACGGUACCCAAUGAGGAAGCCCCGGCUAACUACGUGCCAGCAGCCGCGGUAAUACGUAGGGGGCGAGCGUUGUCCGGAAUUACUGGGCGUAAAGGGUGCGUAGGCGGCGAUGCAAGUCCAUUGUGAAAAGCCCGGGCUUAACCUGGGAGGUGCAGUGGAAACUGCAUGGCUUGAGUGCAGGAGAGGAAAGUGGAAUUCCUAGUGUAGCGGUGAAAUGCGUAGAUAUUAGGAGGAACACCAGUGGCGAAGGCGGCUUUCUGGACUGUAACUGACGCUGAGGCACGAAAGCGUGGGGAGCAAACA